rnacentral:misc_RNA from 1 species
CUUCGAAUGCCGUUGUCGUGGGCUUCAGUUGUGCUUACCGCUCAGUGUGUGCCGUUGCUGCCAGUGAGAGUGACCCAAAACUGUGACACAGUGACUCCAGUCGUGACUGUCGGCCGUCGGUGGUGCGUCUCGGUGGCGUAUGCUUGAUUUGUGUGGCGCCCUAACGUAUGCUUCAUUUGUAAUACGCGAACCGGGCAAAGUUCUCGCAGUGCAUCCUCAAGGAUACCAACCAAAAAGUAACAACAAACCCAUCAUUGAAUUGUGCCCCUCCUUUGAAGUUAAUCUACACACUCGCUGGUGUGCAGUGUGGUGGCUGUGUGGUAGUGAGCUGCUGCCUGUGUGUGUGUAAUGCGUAUAUAAGUCAGGCAAAUUUGUCACGUGUUUUGGAUAUCUUUUUCUGAUGCCGCCCGUCCGGGAAUUUAUUGAAAAAUUGCACAGAGAUAAAUGCGCUAAACAAACAAAAUCCGAAAACGACCAAAAUCCAAUCUGAAUCAAAGGGGUAGUGGGACUUAGCCCCAGAGUCAGGACAGAUGUUGCUGUUCUGAAAUAAGUGAACAUGGCCCACAGCCAAUGGUUAUUGAUGGUCCGAGUGGAGGAAAUCACUGUUGAAGCAACGAGAAACCAAGACCGAGACCCAAAGAAAUAUUAAACAAAUUAUGAGCAGCAGCGCGAUUGUGGGGCAAUAAAAUUGGCCAUAAAAACAUAGUUCAAACCGCGCGGCGAACAAUAAACGAGGAAAACUAAUAUUUGACAAACCGUCAGCGAAGUCACUCGAAAGUAAAAUUGUGAACAUUCGCAAAAAGUUGCUACCCCGAGAAAAUCCCAAACGUUUGCACUCGUUGCGUAUACGCCGUGUUGGCAGUUUUGCAUUUUUGCAAGAGGUGUUAAAUGCGUUCGCCAGUCUCAGCUGGAGCUGCAGCUCCACCGACCACAGUCCACCACGGAUCCGCCGCUGGAAAGUACCAGUAAAGGCCAGUGAAAGUACCAAACUGUGCACUAUUUCCGCGUAACUGAACAUUAUCGCUCUCGCUCCCUCGCGGGAGGGGAUGCGCUCCUGGAAAAGUCGCAGUCGAUCCAAAAUGCAAACACUCGAAACGAGAACGCGGCUCCUGCAGGGCGCCCAGCUCACCCAGCUGCUCCUCGGUGCCAUCCUCUGCCUCACAAUCGCAUCGCACACACAGACGUCGGCGGAGGCGGCAGGCGGAAGGGCAUCUGGACCAGGAGCAGACAGAACAUCACAAGGAGCAGGGACAUCGUCGGCAUCCGCAUCGGCAUCGGCAGCCUCCAUGGCCAUCAGCUCCGAUGAGAGCGGCGACCCAUCAUCGGCGACCGCGUUCUCCAGCUUGGCUCAAGUGUCCUCGCUUCUGCCGGAGGCAUCCGCACUGUCGGCGACAUCGGGACUCGUGGAGCCCUAUCUGGAUGGCUAUGCCACUUCCAAUGUGACCACUCAGAUCGGGACACACGCGUAUCUGCCCUGUCGGGUCAAACAACUGGGCAACAAAUCUGUGUCCUGGAUUCGUCUGCGAGAUGGACACAUCUUGACCGUUGACAGGGCCGUCUUCAUAGCCGACCAGCGAUUCCUGGCCAUCAAGCAGCCGGACAAGUACUGGACCCUGCAGAUCAAGUACGUCCAGGCCCGGGACGCCGGCUCCUACGAGUGCCAGGUCUCCACGGAGCCCAAAGUCAGCGCCCGUGUCCAGCUGCAAGUUGUGGUUCCCCGUACGGAGAUCCUGGGAGAGCCGGAUCGCUACGUGAAGGCAGGCAGCAAUGUGGUGCUCCGCUGCAUCGUGCGCGGCGCCUUGGAGCCGCCCACGUUCAUCAUGUGGUACCACGGCGCCGAGCAGCUGGCGGCCGACUCCCGGCGCCACCGCACGCAACUGGAUCCCAAUCUGCCGGAGGCCUCCGGCGAAGGGCAGAGCACGAUUGGCUCAUUAAUCAUCGAGUCGGCCAAGAAGCGCGAUACUGGCAAUUACACAUGUAGCCCGUCGAAUAGCCCCAGUGCGACCGUAACGCUGAACAUAAUAAAUGGCGAAUCGUCGGCUUCAGCGGUCACCUCCUCGGCAGCCACCACCCGGGCCUACGCCCUCAGCAUCCUGGCGCUCCUGCUCAGCGUCAUUCUCAUCGGAGUGGGCCACCGCACAUGACAUGUCACUGCCAGCAAGCCAAACUGAAUGGCCGGAGCAAUAGCUGCUACUAGACAGUGAGAAGAUGGGAAGCCCAACACUCUGCCAACGUAAAAAGUAAAAAACCAAAUUAAUUUGAUAGGCCCAAAUAGCAAAAAGCGAGAAGAAACACGAAGAGAGAUAACACAGGAUGAGUCCGUAUCCCAGAAAAAGACAGGCAAUUUCGAGAACCUCGACUCCCAGCUAAUCGUAAGUUCUACCGGCUCUAAGCGAACUAGUUAGUAAGCCCCUAGUUCUAAGCUGGCUCCUAACUGAAUUUGUUACGUAGUUUUGUUUAGGUAUUUCAACUCGAUUCAGUUUGGUUCGGUUGCGCGAGUGGCGGGGCCUAUGUUUUGUGGAAAAUAUCGAGUAAGUUUGCAUAAAUGAAUAAUAGUAAAUAUUUAUGCAGUCCGAUGUGAAAUUGCAUCGAUAUCCUGAAACCAUUCAGACCGCAUGGGCGAGCUGGGCAGGAAGAGGGAUCGGGAUCUGGGAAAUUCCAGCCAUCAAACAAAUGCGUUUUUGGAAAAAUGCAACUCGAAUGCAUUUGCAUGGCAAUUUGAGUCUGGAACAACAUUUGCAGUCUCCUUCCUAUGUGGCGACAUGCUGAACUUUUCAAUUAGCCAUAUAUCCCGCACUCCUCGCACAGUUUUCCAUCUCCUCUCUCACUCUCUCUCUCUCUUGCUCUCUCACUCACUCACGGAUGCCGGACAGUUUUGAAUAUUUAUUAUUUUUGGCAAAUACUAGACUCUGGUCGGUGGUGACCUCGUUUCUGGCCAGAGGAAGUGAAACUUAUUUUGCCAAUAAAUUUGAAAAAUUGAAUAGGUCGUCGCAGAGAUCGUAGAAGUUGUGAAAGAUUUCCAAGGAGUUUAUUUAGCAUUAUCUUUGGCAAACAUAACACCCACGUACUCGCACUCACGAUGUAUGUAUGUAUCUGCCGAUGUAUCGCAAACAUUUGCAUAGCCAAUUUAUGGAACUCUAUUUUAUGUGCUCUUAUCUCACGAACAAGCUCGAAACAUGCCGGCAAAAAGCAAAAUUCAUAAAGUAAAUAUUGCGUAAGAACAAAAAAUUAUAGCAAAUACACUCAUUGAUCGAAAUGGACGAAUUGGAUGAAAUGGGCGUCCAGCAAGCAAAAACAAUUUAAUUGAUAACGAAAGUAAAUUUAUUGAAUUCAGCGGACUGAAUCGUGAACUGUAUAUAACUCCAUUGCGAAAUCGUUCAGCAAAAUGUAAAUUAAUUGAAUAUACAAAUAAUAUAAAUGGCAGAAUCCAACCAGAGACGUAUUCCAAACACUAAUGAAUUGCAUUUAAACGAUACAAAUAAAUACAUAAAAUAAAUAAACAAAUAGCGGCAGGCAGGAGACAAAGGCGCAAGGCGGCCAAAGAAAUAAAUAAAACGAAUCAAACGGACAAAAUGUAAACAUCGUAUGCAUCGCCAACCCGCAGGCCCAACUCGUAUUUAUUUAUCCACUUAACGUCCUUUUUAAUUACACACACUCCCCCGAUCCACACGGCAAAUCCCAUAAAAAUCGUCUGAAAUUAAUUAAAGUUGUCGUCUCUGCUCCUGAAUUUGUAUGCACGUCGAAAGGUGGAAAGUGAGGCUGCAGCGUCAACUUAAUUGCAAUUAGGUGCAGACCCACUAUCACUCCCACACCCACUCCCACUCAAACAAUGCCCUCAAAGCGGCAUUAAUUAUGUGUGCGAUUGUCCCAAGGCAGCGUCGGCUGUCACUCCCUGCGUAUACUUGAUGUGCCCGCCUUUGAGCGCUUAACAAAUUGAUCCCGGGCCAAGUUAACCGCAAGCAGCUGUGAGCCAACACAAACACGCUCCGCAGACGGGUGAGAAAAAGCCACGGAAAUAAAUUUCUGCGGUCAAUAUUACAGCGGUCGGGCAGGUGGGGGUUAAUUUAACGGGGAUUCUUUUCACGGCUGUGGACAAUUAACACAUUCCGGCUUGCAUGCAUCAAAUGCUCGCGGUCUGCGGCUAACCACCUUUGAGCCACCCACUCCUUUUCACACCUUUUCCGAGUAGCGCCCAAUCCUGACACUUAUAUGCAGCCUCUUAUUUUUCCGCCAAAAAGCCAUUGGCCAUUGGACACCACACACUAAACUGAAUGUUGAACAAUGAACGUUUGUUAGACCUAAGCGGCGUAUAUGACCAUAGCAAGUACUAUACAAAUCGAAAUCAAAAUACAUUUCUAAGCUCUUAAGUGUUUUUCAUCAACUCGAUUAACGUGUAGACUCCAUUCAUGUAAUUAUCAACAACCGACUAUUUGUAAAUAAAUCGCAUUACACGCAAAAGUCCCAAAAUCGCAGAGGUGUGGACGUUACUUUUUAAAGACAGACACUGGAAGACACUUGUACUCAUGAUAUAGCAAAGUUUAUUGUUAAGUACCGACUAAUAACAAAAAUACUUACACAUAUAAAUAUGUAAACGAAACUAAGAACUAUGUGAACUUUAA